rnacentral:rRNA from 1 species
CAGCAGCCGCGGUAAUACGAAGGGUGCAAGCGUUAAUCGGAAUUACUGGGCGUAAAGCGUGCGUAGGCGGUGAGCUAAGUCUGCUGUGAAAUCCCCGGGCUCAACCUGGGAAUGGCAGUGGAUACUGGCUCGCUAGAGUGUGUCAGAGGAUGGUGGAAUUCCCGGUGUAGCGGUGAAAUGCGUAGAGAUCGGGAGGAACAUCAGUGGCGAAGGCGGCCAUCUGGGACAACACUGACGCUGAGGCACGAAAGCGUGGGGAGCAAACAGGAUUAGAUACCCCCGUAGUCCCUGUCUCUUAUAC